UACGAAGGUGGCUAGCGUUGCUCGGAAUCACUGGGCGUAAAGCGCACGUAGGCGGCUUUCUAAGUCAGGGGUGAAAUCCUGGAGCUCAACUCCAGAACUGCCUUUGAUACUGAAGAUCUUGAGUUCGGGAGAGGUGAGUGGAACUGCGAGUGUAGAGGUGAAAUUCGUAGAUAUUCGCAAGAACACCAGUGGCGAAGGCGGCUCACUGGCCCGAUACUGACGCUGAGGCACGAAAGCGUGGGGAGCAAACGGG
rnacentral:rRNA from 1 species